rnacentral:lncRNA from 1 species
AUGUUUUCAGUUUGUGAAUCCGUUGUUAAAAUCACUUUGGAAAUCCAGAAGUCCGGAUCCUGGUGCAAUAUAACUGAUAUUUUUAGGAGCUUCAUGUUUAAAUUAAUUUAAUUGUACCUAUAUAAAUAUCUCAUUCAUCCACUCUAAAUGUUUAUGUCUGAUCCUUCUGCGCUUGCGGCAGGCUUUCUGACUUUUUAGGUUGUGUUGUGUACCUACUUGCGAAUACCGUCAGCAGUUUGGUUCAGUGAGAUAACAAGGAAUGCAGAGUAGUCCCUGAUUUGAAAAUUGUAACUCAGAUUCUUGUUUCUGUAAUGGACCAAGUUUGGCAAUCAGAAUACAAAACUAAUUCCAAAUUAAAAAAAAAAAAACAACAGAAAACUAAAGAGAACAGUAAACUGCAAGCCAGUGCCUAAAUGUUGUGUGCUAAAUUAGUCCUGUGCUAUUCAUGUUACUUUAAAAGAAUUUGCAGAGAAUUGCAUUGUAUUGUACACGCUUGCGAAAAAAUCUGUUAAGUGUACAAAACAGGAAUGGCAAAUAAGUGACUGAAAGGAUGCUGUCUUUCAGGAAGGCAGACUUAAAGCUCAGUAUUUUUGACUAUAUUAAAAAUCCAUUUUGGGCAGAAAAUGCAUAAGCAAUAAUUUAACCUAGAACUGGAUAUUAAGGAAGCUGCUAUUUAUAGAGAGACUUGAUGGUAAUUUUGCCUGUUGGGCAUCUCCUCUCAUCAAACGUUUAGAAAGAUAGGGUUGCUGCGAUUUCCACUGUUGUAACAUUCCUCUUCAGAUAUUUGAAGUCCGGGUGAGAGACUGAAAGCUUAGAGGCCAGUACUGUGUUCACAGGGUGCAUGGCUUUGGGAGAAGACAGGAAGAAAAUUACUUUUUUUUUUAAGGCUUCACAAUUGUAUAUAUAUGCGUAUUUAAGAGUAUUUAACCAUGUCUGCUAAAUUACUGAAGUUAAGCUAUUGUUGAAAUAUAGAAUAUUAUUUAAUACAUCAACAUGGUUUUUCCUGACCUGACCCAGAAUUGGAAUGGACUCCAAUAUAAAUUUUUUAAAAGCAUUUCUCAAGUUGUAUGUAUUAUAAACUAAUAAAAUAAUUGUUAACCUAUCUGUUAAGCCUUACUGGUUUUCAUCUAUCCAGUAUUGGGAGGGGGGGG